GAUGAAGAACGUAGCGAAAUGCGAUAAGUAAUGUGAAUUGCAGAAUUCAGUGAAUCAUCGAAUCUUUGAACGCACAUUGCGACCGCCAGUAUUCUGGCGGGCAUGCCUGUUCGAGCGUCAUUUCAACCCUCAAGCCCAGCUUGGUGUUGGGGAUCGGCACAGGCGCCCUCGGGCGCCCGCCGUCCCCUAAAUCUAGUGGCGGUCCCGCUGCAGCCUCCUCUGCGUAGUAGUUUUCUCCUCGCAAGGGCAGCUCGGUGGCGACCUCGCCGUAAAACCCCCAACUUCUGAAAGGUUGACCUCGAAUCAGGUAGGAAUACCCGCUGAACUUAAGCAUAUCAAUAAGCGGAGGA
rnacentral:misc_RNA from 1 species